rnacentral:tRNA from 1 species
GCUCGAGUGGUGAAAUUGGCAUACACGCAAGACUUAGGAUCUUGUGCCCUAGGGCAUGAGGGUUCGACUCCCUCCUCGAGCACCA